rnacentral:rRNA from 1 species
AUUGAACGCUGGCGGCAUGCUUUACACAUGCAAGUCGAACGGUAACAGGUCUUCGGAUGCUGACGAGUGGCGAACGGGUGAGUAAUACAUCGGAACGUGCCUAGUAGUGGGGGAUAACUACUCGAAAGAGUAGCUAAUACCGCAUGAGAUCUACGGAUGAAAGCAGGGGACCUUCGGGCCUUGUGCUACUAGAGCGGCUGAUGGCAGAUUAGGUAGUUGGUGGGGUAAAGGCUUACCAAGCCUGCGAUCUGUAGCUGGUCUGAGAGGACGACCAGCCACACUGGGACUGAGACACGGCCCAGACUCCUACGGGAGGCAGCAGUGGGGAAUUUUGGACAAUGGGCGAAAGCCUGAUCCAGCAAUGCCGCGUGCAGGAUGAAGGCCCUCGGGUUGUAAACUGCUUUUGUACGGAACGAAAAGCCUGGGGCUAAUAUCCCCGGGUCAUGACGGUACCGUAAGAAUAAGCACCGGCUAACUACGUGCCAGCCGCCGC